AGCUGUGAUGGCGAGGGAAAUAAAGUACCGAAGUGCCUGAUUCCACACUGCCAAGAAAAGCCUCUAGCGAGGUGAGAGGUGCCCGUACCGCAAACCGACACAGGUAGGCGAGGAGAGAAUCCUAAGGUGCGCGGGAGAACUCUCGUUAAGGAACUCGGCAAAAUGACCCCGUAACUUCGGGAGAAGGGGUGCUCCCUCGGGUGAAUAGCCCAGGGGAGCCGCAGUGAAAAGGCCCAAGCGACUGUUUAUCAAAAACACAGGUCUCUGCGAAGCCGUAAGGCGAAGUAUAGGGGCUGACACCUGCCCGGUGCUGGAAGGUUAAGGGGAGCGCUUAGCGCAAGCGAAGGUGCGAACCGAAGCCCCAGUAAACGGCGGCCGUAACUAUAACGGUCCUAAGGUAGCGAAAUUCCUUGUCGGGUAAGUUCCGACCCGCACGAAAGGUGUAACGACUUGGGCACUGUCUCAACGAGAGACCCGGUGAAAUCAUAGUACCUGUGAAGAUGCAGGUUACCCGCGACAGGACGGAAAGACCCCGUGGAGCUUUACUGCAGCCUGAUAUUGAAUGUUGGUGCGACAUGUACAGCAUAGGUGGGAGACUGAGAAGCCUGGACGCCAGUCUAGGUGGAGUCGCCGUUGGGAUACCACCCUUGUCGUACUGAGAUUCUAACCCGCACCCCUGAUCGGGGUGGGAGACAGUGUCAGGUGGGCAGUUUGACUGGGGCGGUCGCCUCCCAAAGCGUAACGGAGGCGCCCAAAGGUUCCCUCAGAAUGGUUGGAAAUCAUUCGAAGAGUGUAAAGGCAGAAGGGAGCUUGACUGCGAGACCUACAAGUCGAGCAGGGACGAAAGUCGGGCUUAGUGAUCCGGUGGUUCCGAAUGGAAGGGCCAUCGCUCAACGGAUAAAAGCUACCCCGGGGAUAACAGGCUUAUCUCCCCCAAGAGUCCACAUCGACGGGGAGGUUUGGCACCUCGAUGUCGGCUCAUCGCAUCCUGGGGCUGUAGUCGGU
rnacentral:rRNA from 1 species